CAGGGAGGGCAUGAGGAGACAUAUAUUUACCAUUUGAAAGAUUAACCAAAAUCUCAGAAAAACAACUAAAUGAUAUGGGAGGCAAGCAAUCCACCAGAUACAGCAUUUAAAACAAUGGUUAUAAGGAUGCUCAAGGAACUUAAUGAGAAUCUCAACAAAGUGAGAGAAAACAUAAAAUAAGAUAUAGAAACCAUAAAGAGAGCCAGGUAGAAAUGAAAAUACAAUAUCUGAAAUGAAGAACAUACUAGAAGAAAUCAACAGCAGGUUAGAUAAAGCAGAGAAUCAACAGCAAUUGACAAAGUAGUAGAAAAUGCCCAAUCAGAGAAGCAGAAGCAAAAGCAAAGAAGAAUUUUAAAAAUUGAGGCUAGCCUAAGACACUUCUGAGACAACCUGAAGUGCAACAACAUCCACAUCAUUGGUGUAUGAGAAGCAAAAGAGAGAAAGCAAGGGAUUGAUAACCUAUUUGAAGAAAUAAUGGAAGAAAACUUUACUAACCUGGUAAAAGAAAAAGACACACAGGUCCAAGAAGUGCCCAGUCUCAAACAAGAUAAACCUAAAGAGGCUCACACCAAGAUAUAUUAUAAUUAAAAUGCCAAAGGUUAAAGACAGAGAGAAUUAUAAAAGCAGCA